UACGUAGGGGGCAAGCGUUGUCCGGAUUUAUUGGGCGUAAAGAGCGUGUAGGCGGCUUGGUAGGUCCGCUGUGAAAGUCAAAGGCUCAACCUUUGAAAGCCGGUGGAUACUGGAUGGCUAGAGUACGGAAGAGGCGAGUGGAAUUCCUGGUGUAGCGGUGGAAUGCGCAGAUAUCAGGAGGAACACCAAUAGCGAAGGCAGCUCGCUGGGACGUUACUGACACUGAGGCGCGAAAGCGUGGGGAGCGAACAGG
rnacentral:rRNA from 1 species